rnacentral:rRNA from 1 species
AGCGUUGUUCGGAAUUACUGGGCGUAAAGGGCGCGUAGGCGGCCUUUUAAGUUAGGUGUGAAAGUCCUGGGCUCAACCUGGGGACUGCACUUAAUACUGGAUGGCUUGAAUUCGGGAGAGGAUAGCGGAAUUCCCAGUGUAGAGGUGAAAUUCGUAGAUAUUGGGAAGAACACCGGUGGCGAAGGCGGCGAGCUGGUCCGUUACUGACGCUGAGGCGCGACAGCGUGGGGAGCAAACAGG